AACGAACGCUGGCGGCGUGCUUAACACAUGCAAGUCGAGCGCGAAAGGGGGGCUUGCUCCCUGAGUAGAGCGGCGAACGGGUGAGUAACGCGUGGGUAACCUACCCCCAGGCGGGGAAUAACCACUCGAAAGGGUGGCUAAUACCGCAUGAGACCACGAGGCCCUCGGGCCAUGGGGUCAAAGGCGGCGUCGGCUUGCCGGCGCUGUCACCUGGGAAUGGGCCCGCGUCCGAUUAGCUAGUUGGCGGGGUAACGGCCCACCAAGGCUUCGAUCGGUAGCUGGUCUGAGCGGAUGAUCGGCCACGCUGGAACUGGAACACGGUCCAGACUCCUACGGGAGGCAGCAGUGGGGAAUAUGGCGCAAUGGGGGAAACCCUGACGCAGCAACGCCGCGUGGGUGAUGAAGGCCUGCGGGUCGUAAAGCCCUUUCGGACGGGAAGAAGCCCACCCGGGCUAAUAUCCCGGGUGUCUGACGGUACCCACAGAAAAAGUUCCGGCUAACUACGUGCCAGCCGCCGCCGUAAAAC
rnacentral:rRNA from 1 species